CAGAGUUCAUGCCCGAAAGGGUAGACCUCCCACCCUUGUGUAUUAUUACUUUGUUGCUUUGGCGAGCUGCCUUUCGGGGCCCUGUAUGUUCGCCAGAGAAUAUCAAAACUCUUUUUAUUAAUGUCGUCUGAGUACUAUAUAAUAGUUAA
rnacentral:rRNA from 1 species